GUAUAACUCGUUCUGCUGAUUUGUGCUACAAUGUAAUUACAGGACCCACCAUUGUGACAUGCUAAAAGAACUAAACUGGCUGUCGCUGGAAUCCAGAUGCACCCUUCAUCUUUCCAGCCUUGUGUUUAAGAGCUUUUCUGGGAAGCACCUACCCUACCUGAGCAGAAUACUCUCCUCAGCUGUUCCCACCUCCUAUAACCUCCG